rnacentral:rRNA from 1 species
UGGGGAAUAUUGGACAAUGGGCGCAAGCCUGAUCCAGCAAUGCCGCGUGUGUGAAGAAGACCUUCGGGUUGUAAAGCACUUUUAUCAGGAGCGAAACGCUGUCGGCUAAUACCCGGCGGAACUGACGGUACCUGAGGAAUAAGCACCGGCUAACUUCGUGCCAGCAGCCGCGGUAAUACGAAGGGUGCAAGCGUUAAUCGGAAUUACUGGGCGUAAAGCGUGCGUAGGCGGUUUCUUAAGUCUGCUGUGAAAUGUCCCCGGGCUCAACCUGGGGAUGGCAGUGGAUACUGGGAGGCUAGAGUGUGUCAGAGGGUGGUGGAAUUCCCGGUGUAGCGGUGAAAUGCGUAGAGAUCGGGAGGAACAUCAGUGGCGAAGGCGGCCACCUGGGACAACACUGACGCUGAGGCACGAAAGCGUGGGGAGCAAACAGGAUUAGAUACCCUGGUAGUCCACGCCCUAAAACGAUGCGAACUGGAUGUUGGUCUCAACUCGGAGAUCAGUGUCGAAGCUAACGCGUUAAGUUCGCCGCCUGGGGGUACGGUCGCAAGACUGAAACUCAAAUGAAUUGACGGGGUCAUAGCUGUUUCCUG